AUUCAACUGAGGAGUCCCAAGUGGGACGUAACACGGGUCCUGGAU
rfam:Schistosoma rodhaini strain Burundi genome assembly, scaffold: SROB_scaffold0006204